rnacentral:rRNA from 1 species
UUUUUUAAUUGAAAGCUUGUAUGAAUGGUUGAAUGAAAUAUUAACUGUUUCAUAAAAAUUUUAAUAAAACUUUAUUUUUUAGUUAAAAAGCUAAAAUUAAUUUAAAAGACGAGAAGACCCUAUAAAGUUUUAUAAUAAUAUUUUGAUUUUUUUUUUAGAAAUUUUAUAAUUUUUAUAAUAUUAUUAUUUUAUUGGGGUGAUAAUAAAAUUUAAAAAACUUUUGUUAUUUAAUUACAUUAAUUUAUGAAUUUAUGAUCCAAUAUUAUUGAUUAAAAAUUUAAAUUACUUUAGGGAUAACAGCGUAAUUUUUUUUUAAAGUUCAUAUUAAUAAAAAAGAUUGC